GCUCCCAUGGAGCCAAAACCCUAAACUUCAUCAAAAUCUCCAAAUUGAAAGGCUAAACGAAGCCCAAAUUCACAACCAAGCAUGAAUUAACGAUCACCUUCACAAGGGGAUCAUAAGGAAUCAUGUCAAGAUGGAUGGGAGCGUUGAAGGCUAACGGGCUACGAAGACUCAAUCAAAUAAGCGAACGCAAAUACGGGCGCGCAAGGUUGUACAGAACGGUGGAUUCUCAUCAUGAAGUGUAAAAGGUUGAAGAUCGAGUCAAGAGAUGGAUUGUACAUGUGGGUGCAUGGUCACGAAAAUUAAUAGUAGUAUGUCCGAUUUUUAUAAAUCUUUAGAAAGCAUUAAUGUAUUUAAUGUAAAAGAGUGAUUUAAUGUAAUUCUAAGUAUGUUAGAAUGAAUAUGAUGAAAGGAAAUUUUUAAGUUCGUAUUUCCGCUGCAACUUUUGGUUAAA